UGAUAAUAAACACAUCCAUACAAAAAAGUACUGGUAAGUUUAAUUUUAAAACGGAAGAUAAGGAAAGGGACAGGGAUAGGGACAGGUUUAACGAAUCGAGUCGAUAUAUACAAUAUGGUAAUAAUUAUUUUAAAACUAAAAAUGAGCAAAGAAAUAUUGUUUUAAAACAAUAUUUAUUUAAUAAUCAUAGUGGUUGGAGUAACGAAUAUAAUAGUGGCUAUAAUGAUGAACAUAACAGUGAUGAUAGUAGUAGUUAUAAUAAUAUGAGCAUUACUGAUAUUUACUUUAAUAAUAAUGAAAUUAAUGGUAACAGUGUUGAAAAAAAAAAAAAAAAAAAACUUACAAAUAACUAUAAUAAUAAUAAUAAUACUAACUUUAACAAUAUAAAUAAUGCUUUAGUGAAAAAUAAUUAUGAGUUAAACAAUUAUUUUAGAAUACCUUAUGCAAAUAAAUCAAAUGAAAAAAUAUAUAAUAUUAUGGGUAAUGAAAACGAAUUUAAUAUAAAUAACGAUAAUAUUUUUAAUAUAAAUUUGAAUAAUGUUUUAAAUCUCUCUUUUAAUUAUAAACAGGAUAUAAAUAAAAUGGGAGGUAGGGGAUACGUAGAUGAGAAAAACUUUAAAGAGGAACAAAAUAAUACCCCAAGUGAUGGUGAUCAUAACAGUGAUGAUAAUGGUGAUAUAAGUAAAAAAAAAAAAAACGUUUUUAACAGUAAUGUUAAUAAUGAUAACACACAAACUCAAUCCCAAACUCAAUCCCAAACUCAAGAGAGCACUCAUAGUGAUAGCGGUGCAGGUGAUGAAUAUGAUGAAAAAAAAGAUAUGUGUAAAUAUGAUCAGAUAAAAAAAUUAGGAAGACAGGUAUAUGCAACUGUAUAUGAGCCAAGAAAUUUAAUCACGUUAAAUAAAAACAAAGAAGCCAAAGACUGUGAUGCUAUAAUACAAAACAUUGAGAAUAUAAUAAAUAGCGAAUUUUCUAAUAGUAUAGUAAAUAAUAAUAAUAAUAAUAAUGAUAAUGAUAAUGAUAGAGAUAAUAAUAGAGAUAAUAAUAGAGAUAAGGGUAUAAUUGUUAUCAAAGAAAAAUAUGAUAGUACGACGAAUAAUGACAGUGGUAAUAACUUAUUAAACAAUGAUAUAAAAAAAAAUACUAAUUAUAUGUUAAAAAACAAAUUAAAUAUAAAUUAUGCUGAUAUAAAUACUAACUUAAAAAAAAAUAUUAUAAAAAAGUUAUUGGAAAUAUUAUGGGAUAUUUAUAUUGAUAUAAAAAAAUUAUACAAAGAUAUAGAAAAUUGUCCUCAUACUCAUGUUGAAACUAUAUCUAAAUAUACAGAUGACAUAAAAAAAAAAAAAAAUUUUUUUUUUAAUUUUUUUUUUUUAAAUAAAUUAAAUAAUAAUAAAUUAAAUGAUAAUAAAUUAAAUAAUAAUAAAUUAAAUAUUAAUAAAUUAAAUAUUAAUAAAUUAAAUAUUAAUAAAUUAAAUAUUAAUAAAUUAAAUAUUAAUAAAUUAAAUACUAAUAAAUCAAUAAAUAAUCCACUUUUUAAUUAUAAUAACAUUUUUACAAAUAAAAACAUUAACAAUGUAGAUAUUAUUAUAAGUAAAUAUUUAUAUACAUAUUUGACGAAUUGUACAACAUUAUAUAGUAAUAACAAAAUAAAUAGUGAUAAUGAAAAUAUACUGUUAUAUCCUAAUAUAAAAAAUUUAAUUAAAAAUUUAACCUUUUCUAAUAAACCUGUGCUAGUAGUAAAUUAUGUUAGAUGUUUGGAUGAUAAUGAUGGUGAAAAGCGAAAAUCGUGUAAGGUAUGUAAUCACAGUAUAUCAGAUGAUCAAAAAAAUGGUCUUACACAAAAGGGAUCUUGUAAGAACUGUUUGAAUAGUACGUCUACUAUGAGUAGUAAAACAAAUAAAAUGAGUAUGAAUAACACAUAUAAUAAAAAACAUAGAAAUAACUUGAACAACAUUUUUUGGUAUAUUUUUCCAUAUAAUAAUAAUAUAAUUGUACUUGAAAAUUUUGGUUUAUUUGGGAAAACAAUAAUAUUUAACAGAAAAUAUGUUCACUACAAUUUUGGAAUGUAUAACGAUUAUAUUAAUGCUGAUUCAGGUGAUAUUGUUACAACCACAGCAUUACUAUUAAAUGAGAAAAAUAAAAAAUUUAAAAAAAAAUUGAGUGAAAAUACUAUUUUAGAGAAUGUCACAGAAGAAUCAAAAUAUCCUUUCCAAUCUCAUAACGAAAUAGAAAUGAUAGAAGUUGAUAAUGAGUUAAUAAAUAAUAAGUUGAACAAAUUAAGAAAUUUUUUUUAUAUAACAUUUAAUGGUAUGUUAAAAAUAAAGGGUGCUUAUAUUUUUAAAAAAAUUCUUAAAAUGUUAAAAAAAAAAAAAAGGAUGUUUUUAUUAUAUACAAUUUUUAACAAUUAUUUAUUAAUGUAUUAUAUUUUAUCAUAUGCAGAUAAUUGUUUUGAUAGUAUGUUAGAAUAUAAAGAAUUUUUAAAAAUACAAUUAUUAUAUAUUAAUACAAACAUAAAUACACUUAAUACUUUAUUGAAAAAUGAGAAACAACAAAUGAAUAUUAUUAUGAACCAAUCUAAUACUAAUACAAAUAGUAUACAACGACUUAACAUUAGACAUAAAUUAUACAGUACCAAUAUUUAUACAUCGUUAUAUAUACAUUUAGUAGAUAUAUCACUUUCAUAUACAUUUACGCCGCAUAUUGGAAUUACUUAUAUUCAAAAUGUUUUAGCAAUCUUGUUAUUUUACAAUUACAUAUAUUUGUAUAUAACGAAGCUUUUGUUUUAUAAGAGUGGAGCCGCACUAAUAAUUAUAUUGUUAGUAAAAAUAAUCCCAUAUCUUAAGGAGCUAGAUAGG
rnacentral:lncRNA from 1 species